rnacentral:rRNA from 1 species
AUGAAUCUUGAUAAAGAUGGUACUGGAGAUGAAUCAACUUUAAUUAGAAGGCGUCCCAAUGAUUCGGAGUUUUUAGAUCUUGAUGCAAAAAUUGGUAAAAGUGGGAUUGAAGAGGUCAAAACUUUACAUAGCAAUGAACCCACCAUUUUCGAUUUCAAUGAAUUUAAUUAUGAUAAUUGCUCUUUGAUAGAUUGUAUUUCCUUGUUUCAAUCCGUGCUAAAUUCUCCUCAUGCUUAUGAUCAAAACAAAGCCUUCACUAAACAUGUCGUCGAAGCUUUAAUGCAAUCCUAUGAAGAAAAACUUGAAUUAGAAGUUUCUAUCCCCAGAAAACUUUAUGAUGAGUGGGAACCUACUAUUAAAAUUAAGAUUAAAGAUCAUGAAUGCUAUAUUUUAUGUGAUUUAGGUGUUAGUGUUUCCAUGAUUCCAAAAACUUUGUGUGAUGUGCUAGGUUUCCGUAAAUUUGAUGAUUGUUCUUUAAAUUUGAAUAUUGUGGAUUCCAUAAUUAAGAAACCUAUGGGAAGAAUUAAUGAUGUUCUUAUUGUUGCAAAUAUGAAUUAUGUGCCCGUAGAUUUUAUUGUUCUUGAUAUAGAUUGCAAUCCUACUUGUCCUAUUAUUCUCGGUAGACCUUUCCUUAGAACGAUUGGUGCAAUUAUUUAUAUGAAAGAAUGA